rnacentral:rRNA from 1 species
UACGUAGGGUGCGAGCGUUGCCCGGAUUUAUUGGGCGUAAAGGGCGCGUAGGCGGCCACGCACGUCCGUUGUGAAAUCGCCCGGCUCAACUGGGCGGGUCAGCGGAUACGGUGUGGCUCGAGCAAGCUAGGGGCAAUGGAAUUCCGGUGUAGUGGUGGAAUGCGUAGAUAUCGGGAGGAACACCAGUGGCGAAGGCGGUUG